AGUGAACGCUGGCGGUAGGCCUAACACAUGCAAGUCGAACGGCAGCACAGUAAGAGCUUGCUCUUACGGGUGGCGAGUGGCGGACGGGUGAGGAAUACAUCGGAAUCUACUUUUUCGUGGGGGAUAACGUAGGGAAACUUACGCUAAUACCGCAUACGACCUACGGGUGAAAGCAGGGGAUCUUCGGACCUUGCGCGAUUGAAUGAGCCGAUGUCGGAUUAGCUAGUUGGCGGGGUAAAGGCCCACCAAGGCGACGAUCCGUAGCUGGUCUGAUAGGAUGGUCAGCCACACUAGAACUGAGACACGGUCCAGACUCCUACGGGAGGCAGCAGUGGGGAAUAUUGGACAAUGGGCGCAAGCCUGAUCCAGCCAUACCGCGUGGGUGAAGAAGGCCUUCGGGUUGUAAAGCCCUUUUGUUGGGAAAGAAAAGCAGCAGGUUAAUACCCCGCUGUUCUGACGGUACCCAAAGAAUAAGCACCGGCUAACUUCGUG
rnacentral:rRNA from 1 species